GGGACCUCCCGUGGUUCCAUCUAGUCAUGUAAAGGAUAUCACAUUGAUGGCAUCCAAACAAGCUGAAAUAGAAAAAUAGGACAAUGGAUGCUGCAUGCCCACAUACUUCCUAAUAAAACCAAUAUAUAUUUUGAUAGUGCCAAUUUCUUCUAAUAGUAGGAUCAUCAUAAAAUUACUAUUGUAUUAUUAUGAACAUAAUGAUCUUUAUUUUGUUC
rnacentral:lncRNA from 1 species